GUGAAUCAUCGAAUCUUUGAACGCACAUUGCGCCCGCCAGUAUUCUGGCGGGCAUGCCUGUUCGAGCGUCAUUUCAACCCUCAAGCCCCCGGGCUUGGUGUUGGGGAUCGGCGAGCCUCUGCGCCCGCCGUCCCCUAAAUUUAGUGGCGGUCACGUUGUAACUUCCUCUGCGUAGUAGCACACUUAGCACUGGGAAACAGCGCGGCCACGCCGUAAAACCCCCAACUUUAGAAUGUUUGACCUCGAAUCAGGUAGGACUACCCGCUGAACUUAAGCAUAUCAAUAAGCGGAGGA
rnacentral:misc_RNA from 1 species